AGCGAACGCUGGCGGCAGGCCUAACACAUGCAAGUCGAACGAACCUUUCGGGGUUAGUGGCGGACGGGUGAGUAACACGUGGGAACGUGCCUUUAGGUUCGGAAUAACUCAGGGAAACUUGUGCUAAUACCGAAUGUGCCCUUCGGGGGAAAGAUUAAUCGCCUUUAGAGCGGCCCGCGUCUGAUUAGCUAGUUGGUUGAGGUAAUGGCUCACCAAGGCGACGAUCAGUAGCUGGUCUGAGAGGAUGAUCAGCCACAUUGGGACUGAGACACGGCCCAAACUCCUACGGGAGGCAGCAGUGGGGAAUCUUGCGCAAUGGGCGAAAGCCUGACGCAGCCAUACCGCGUGAAUGAUGAAGGUCUUAGGAUUGUAAAAUUCUUUCACCGGGGACGAUAAUGACGGUACCCGGAGAAGAAGCCCCGGCUAACUUCGUG
rnacentral:rRNA from 1 species